UACCAGCACCCUGAGUGGUCGGGACGUUUUAUUGGGCCUAAAGCAUCCGUAGCCGGUUCUACAAGUCUUCCGUUAAAUCCAACUGCUUAACAGGUGGGCUGCGGAAGAUACUAUAGAGCUAGGAGGCGGGAGAGGCAAGCGGUACUCGAUGGGUAGGGGUAAAAUCCGUUGAUCCAUUGAAGACCACCAGUGGCGAAGGCGGCUUGCCAGAACGCGCUCGACGGUGAGGGAUGAAAGCUGGGGGAGCAAACCGG
rnacentral:rRNA from 1 species